UCCCCCUAAAAAAUAUUUUGGAAGGUGGGCGCCCGACCCUGCGUUCCGAAGGUCAAGUUUAAAAGACACCCUGGGGAGACGGUCGCAAUAAAAUAACUCAUAAAUUAGGCAGGGGCCCCACACAAGGGGUGGCACAUGGUUUUUUUUUUGGCGCCACGAAAACCCCCCUACCCUUCCUCCCAUCCAGAAAACUUUCCAGAGAUAGAUUGGUGCUUUUGGAAAUUUUAAGACAGGGGCCCCAUGGCUGUCGUCAGCUCAUUUUGUGAAAUGUUGGGUAAAGUCCCGCAACGAGCGCAACCCUUAUCCUUGUUUCCCAGCGAGUAAUGUCGGGAACUCCAGGGAGACUGCCGGUGAUAAACCGGAGGAAGGUGGGGACGACGUCAAGUCAUCAUGGCCCUUACGAGUAGGGCUACACACGUGCUACAAUGGCGCAUACAGAGGGCGGCCAACUUGCGAAAGUGAGCGAAUCCCAAAAAGUGCGUCGUAGUCCGGAUUGGAGUUUGCAACUGGACUCCAUGAAGUCGGAAUCGUUAGUAAUCGUCGCUAUAAAGUGCACCACGGGCGCUGUAGGGUGCGCCCCGGUCUCCGUAUAUCGUGACACGGGGGCGGUGUAGAUUGUGCCACGGUCGCCGUAAGUCGUGACACAGGUAGCCGUAGAGU
rnacentral:rRNA from 1 species